GUGCAAAUGAGGUAAGGCAAUAAAUAGGCCAUAGUGGCAAAAUAAUUACAAUAUAGCAAUUAAACGCAGGAAUGAUAUGUGCAGAAGAUGAAUGUGCAAGUAAAGAUACUAGGGUGCAAAGGAGCCAAAAAAUAAAUAACAGUAUGGGGUAGAUGGAUGGGCUAUUUACAGAUGGGGUAUGUACAGGUGCAGUGAUCUGCUCAAACAGCUGGUGCUUAAAGUUAGUGAGGGAGAUAUGGGUCUCCAGCUGCAGUGAUUUUUUUCUCCAUUUGUUCCAGUCAUUGGCAGCAGAGAACUGGAAGGAAAGGCAGUUAAGAGGAAUUGGCUUUGGGGAUGACCAGUGAAAUAUACCUGCUGGAGCGCAUGCUACAGGUGGGUGCUGCUAUGGUGACCAGUGAGCUGAGAUAAGGCGGGGCUUUACCUAGCAAAUACUUAUGGGUGACCUGGAGCCAGUGGAUUUGGCGACGAACAUAAAGCGAGGGCCAGCCAACGAGAGCAUACAGGUCUCAGUGGUGGGUAGUAUAUGGGGCUUUGGUGACAAAACGGAUGGCACUGUGAUAGACUGCAUCCAAUUUGCUGAGUAGAGUGUUGGAGGCUAUUUUGUAAAUGACAUCGCCGAAGUCAAGGAUCGGCAGGAUAGUCAGUUGUACGAGGGUAUGUUUGGCAGCGUGAGUGAAGGAUUUGUUGCAAAAUAGGAAGCCGUUUCUGGAUUUAAUUUUGGAUUGGAGAUGCUUAUUGUGAGGCUGGAAGGAGAGUUUACAGUCUAACCACACACCUAGGUUUUUGUAGUUGUCCACAUAUUGUAAGUCAGAACCGUCCAGAGUAGUGAUGCUGGACGGGCGUGCAGGUGCGGGCAGCCAUCGGUUGAAGAGCAUACAUUUAGUUUUACUUGCAUUUAAAAGCAGUUGGAGGCCACGGAAGGAGAGUUGUAUGGCAUUGAAGCUCGUCUGGAGGUUAGUUAACACAGUGUCCAAAGAACGGCCAGAAGUAUACAGAAUUGUGUCGUCUGCAUAGAGUUGGAUCAGAGAAUCACCAGCAGCAAGAGCGACAUUAUUGAUGUAUACAGAGAAAAGAGUCGACCCGAGAAUUGAACCCUGUGGCUCCCCCAUAGAGACUGCCAGAGGUCCGGAGAACAGGCCCUCCAAUUUGACACACUGAACUCUGAGAAGUAGUUGGUGAACCAGGCGAGGCAGUCAUUUGAGAAACCAAGGCUGUUGAGUCUGCCGAUGAGAAUGUGGUGAUUGACAGAGUCAAAAGCCUUGGCCAGGUCGAUGAAUAUGGCUGCACAGUAAUGUCUCUUAUCAAUGGCGGUUAUGAUAUUGUUUAAGACCUUGAGUGUGGCUGAGGUGCACCUAUGACCAGCUCUGAAACCAGAUUGCAUAGCGGAGAAGGUGCAGUGAAAAUCGAAAUGGUCGGUGAUCUGUUAACUUGGCUUUCGGCUGAUUUGUAGGGGUCCAGAUUUUGCAGCUCUUUCAGAACAUCAGCUAUCUGGAUUUGGGUGAAGGAGAAAUGUGGGAGGCUUGGACGAGUUGCUCUGGGGGGUGCAGGGCUGUUGACCAGGGUAGGGGUGGCCAGGUGGAAAGCAUGGCCAGCAGUACAAAAAUGCUUAUUGAAAUUCUCAAUUAUUGUGGAUUUAUCGGUGUUGACUGUGUUUCCUAGCCUCAGUGCAGUGGGAAACUGGGAGGAGGUGCUCUUAUUCUCCAUGGACUUUACAAUGUGCCAGAACUUUUUGGAGUUUGUGCUGCAGGAUGCAAAUUUCUGUUUGAAAAAGCUAGCCUUUGCUUUCCUAACUGCCUGUGUAUAUUGGUUCCUAACUUCCCUGAAAAGUUGCAUAUCGCAGGGGCUAUUUGAUGCUAAUGCCGUACACCACAGGAUGUUUUUGUGCUGGUCAAGGGCAGUCAGGCCUGGAGUGAACCACGGGCUAUAUCUGUUCCUGGUUCUAAAAUUUUUGAACAGGGCAUGCUUAUUUAAGAUUGUGAGUAAAGCACUUUUAAAGAAUAACCAGGCAUCUUCUACUAACGGAAUGAGGUCAAUAUCCUUCCAGGAUAGCCGGGCCAGGUCGAUUAGAAAGGCCUGCUCGCUGAAGUGUUUUAGGGAGCGUUUGACGGUGAUGAGGGGUGGUCGUUUGACCGCACACCCAUUACAGAUGCAAGCAAUGAGGCAGUGUUCGCUGAGCUCCUGGUUGAAGACAGCAGAGGUGUAUUUGGAGGGCUGGUUGGUUAGGAUGAUAUCUAUGAGGGUGCCUGUGUUUACAGAUUUGGGGUUAUACCUGGUAGGUUCAUUGAUCAUUUGUGUGAGAUUGAGGGCAUCAAGUUUAGAUUGUAGGAUGGCCGGGGGUGUUUAGCAUGUCCCAGUUUAGGUCACCUAACAGCACAAGCUCUGAAGAUAGAUGGGGGGCAAUCAAUUCACAUAUGGUGUCCAGGGCACAGCUGGGGUCAGAAGGUGGUCUAUAGCAAGUGACAACGUUGAGACUUGUUUCUGGAAUGGUAGAUUUUUAAAAGUAGUUUGGGCACAGACCUGGAUAAUAAGACAUAGCCUGCAGAGUUCUCUCUGCAGUAGAUUGCAACUCCACCCCCUUUGGCAGUUCUAUCUUGUCGGAAAAUGUUAUAGUUAAUGAUGGAAAUUUCAGGGUUUUUGGUGGCCUUCCUAAGCCAAGAUUCAGACACAGCUAGGACAUCCGUGUUGGCAGAGUGGGCUAAAGCAGUGAAUAAAACAAAUUUAGGGAGGAGACUUCUAAUGUUAAAAUGCAUGAAACCAAGGCUUUUACGGUUUUAUUGAGGAACAUUCCAUUGUUAGUUGGGAAUUCAAAAUUUGUUGUAAAAGUGUAUGGUUUAAAUUCCAGUGAACAGCCUUUGAACUUACUGCCCUUUUCAGCAGGAUAUUUCUCUUUCGUUUGUCUGCCUUUCCCCAGAUGGCAUUCUUACAAGAUGGCAUUCCGCAACUUGAAACAGAACACCAUUGAAUGGGCACCAGAUUAGACAACAAUCACCCCAUUAAAAGGUGGACAUCAUUUUACCAAUCACACCAUUCAUAUGGUGAAUGUGGCACGCCACCUAUGUAAUCAGGUGGAAUGGGAGAUUUGUUUUUUUUCCAACUCAAUAAGUAGGUAUUACCCACAAACCGGCAUAGAGUAGGACAUCAUACUUCCUCAUCUGAUUGGUCGGGUAGGCGAGCCUUCUGGGCUGGCAUACACAUCAUUAUACUCCCUCAUCUGAUUGGUCAAGUAGGCGUGCCUUCUGACUUUGUGGCAACGACCAUUUCGUGGCUGCUGCCAUAUUGCUAGUUCCAGUUUUUCUAGGACUACUCCACUCCGGUAUAGUUUUUGGGCACUCUGCCAAUGUUGCCAGGGACGUGGAUCUGCAUGGCUGCAACUAGUUUCGGGAGGGGAAAUCUGCUUUUGCACCACCACUAUUGGGGAACGGGAAAUCUGCAGGUACCACAACCAUGAAAGCAUGAGGUACUUUAUUUCUGUCCAGCUAUUCAAAAACAAUCAUCAAGUGCUUCAACAUAGUAAGAAUGGCAAAAUAAAGAACUCCUUACAGAAGUGGAAGGUUGUGCAUCCUGAUGUAAACAAUAUUCUAAUCUGUUCCUACUUAUGUUUUGUAAAUAGUUCAAUAAAGUUUACUUGUACUGUCCGCCUACUUGUUUUCUUUCUUGUUCUACACAAAUAGCGCCAAGACCUCCAGUGGUGUCAGUUUACAUACCGACUUCAGC
ensembl:lncRNA